ensembl:lncRNA
AUGGAUCACAGGAGGAUGCUAAUAGGUGAUGGUUACAUACAAAUUCCAUCCCCAGAUAGCUUGGGAAGUGACUUCAGCUUUGGCAAACUCCUGGGAGUAAAGGGUCAGGAACUCCAUAUAUAUCUUGACUACCAUGGAUUGAAAUCCUGCUCCUACUAUGGAUGUUCAUGCCAACCCCUGCCAUGCUGUGGUCUGAACUUUGUUUAGAAUAUCGCUAGCAGUCCCCAGAUGCACCAUCACUCCUGAGAGCUCAAGUGGUAAGUCAACUGCCAAGGCUCUGGAUCACUGCCUCCCACCUCUCAGGACAACCUGAGAAGUUGCCUCUUUCAUAUUACAACUGUGUGACAAUUAAAGGGGGGCAACCACUUUAGCCCCAGUGCAAGAAGCUGGAGACUGAAGUUUAUUGACUUAACCUGUACUGCCAACACCAAAACCAGGUCCAAGGCCAACUUCAAAACUUAGCUGCCCACAUGAUUAAUUGAAGCCUCCUUGUCUGGACCUGUGUUGUUAACUAAUAUUGCAACUAUCAGUUCAUUUUGCAGAUAAGAAAUUAUAGGCCCAGAGAGAUAAGUGCCCAAAGCUCAUGUACUUGAAGAAUCUCACAGCUUGAAGCAGAACCCAGCUCUGAUACUUUGUAGAAUAGUGCCAUCACCAUUAGAACAUGUACCGUGACCUUCCUGGAAGUGGCACGUGAGCCUCCCUUUGAAUCAGCUUGACUUUGAGCUCACCCAUGAAACACCAGUGACUUUUGAAAGAAUAUAGGGAUGGCACCACCGAAAGAUUUUGCCUCAGUUGGCUGCAAAUAACGUUAUCUGAAAUAACUGCCAAAGCUGUAAUUUAUCAGACUUUUUCACAGCUUCCACAAAGGCAAGGAAAUUCAAAGUUGAAAGGCUUUCUCCAGGCAGCACAUGCCAGGCAUUUGUGCAUGAAUUGCAGGAGGGGAAAUGAUAUGUUUCUUUUAGAGCUGUUGUUGCCAUCAUGGAAAGUGAGCAAGCAUCUGUGCUUCGGAAAUAAGUGGAAGGAAGGUGUUCCGUGAAAGAAAGCAUGUGGGAAAGCGGCUUAAAAUGGUGAUAGUGUAUGAAAGUGGCAGGAGUUCUGAAUGCCAUUGGGGAGAAGAAACGGAACAAGGCUGACACAUAGAAAGGUGGUGAGAAAGCAAAAAGACAUGUAAAGUGGAGUGUAUUGAAGGAAAAAAGAGAAAUUUGGCUAGAGAAUAGGUCUGAGCAAAUUCCAAAAGUGAGAGAGAAACAAAGAAAAAWGGGAAAAUCAUAAGACAGAUGAAAAGUCUAUUGGAUGGUUGUGGAGGUGAAAGUGUAAGUUAAGGUUUUAGGUAUGUUUUGUUGAGAAAACAGAUAUAAAUCUGAAAAUGAGGUGUCCAAGAAGGACUCCUGAUACAGCAGUGGUCUGUACAUUUAUACUAACCAAAGUCUGUAAGAUGAUUGUACUCUCUAGCAUUUACCAUUGAUCCUGAAGAAAUAAUGAGAAGACUGAUCUUUCCUCAUGUUUAGUAAUACUUAAUUCAAGAGAACUGCUUACUUUAUAUCACUGCAARUAAGGGUUACACAGCCAAUCUUAAGGUCCUUAAUUUCAUUCCAGGGCUUACUAUUUCCUGUGUUACUACUCUGUAAAGAUGACUCUAGAAUAACAAUUUAAUACUUGAGUGCCCAGAGUCAGGCAGACACUUUGCAUAAAAGUGUUCYCUUGUGCGCGCUGAGUGCCUGCAGCUCCCCCCGGGAAGUGGUGGGUGCUAAGCACCUCGGAAAAUCAGGUCACUGUCACUCAGAAGCUCAGAAAAGAACGGAGGUGCCAAAGUUUAAGAUUAAACUUACAAGUUGGUGGCAUCAUUCUAGAAUAGUGCUUCUCUGAAGGAUUGCCACAUUUUUUGUUGUUUAAAUUUUGGAAUGCAACAGGUACGCAUUUGUAAUUCAGGUGUAAUUAUAAAUCCCUCCAGAGAUAAUAUGAGGAUAUAAGAAAGAGGGAAUGAGAGACAGAAAAAGUGAGCAAGAUGGGGAGGAAUUAAAAAAGAAAGGGACAGAAAGAUAUAUUGUUCAAACCUUCUUUUAGACUAGCUUGGGCAUGCCUUAUUGGCUUUGAAUGCAAACAAUUAGUCAGCAAGCUUAAAAUAAACAUAAUGAAGUGUUUUCUUCCA